UAUACCUUAAAAAUUGCAACUUUAAUAUGUAUGGAAAGUGUAUACAUGAGAAACCCUCCCUCCAGACAGGACGUGAGCCAUAGGAACUACAAAUGCAGUGCUCACUCAGGCAGCCCCAAUGGCACAAUCAUGUAAAUAAGUGCAAUAUAUUGAUUCCUGUGAAAUCCAAGAUGGACAUAUCAUCGCCAAGAUCGAAUCGAUCCAGAUCUAUACAUCUGUAUGUGCUUUGUAUUGCAGAAUCUCACUUUUCCUUCAGCACACGAGUACCAUGUGUGGGGAGUUUGCUGCAGAAAACAUCCUUAGCUGCUGCAAGUUCUAUGUAGAAAGAUCAGCUGUGAGGCUUGCUGUAUACCAGUAAUCUAUAGAUCACAUGAUACAUGUAUUACAAUGUCUAUAUUUAGUGGUACAGCUGAUGUAAUAAAAUACGACAUAGUAGUAUAAGGAGAAGUGGAUGGCUGUGAGUACAAUGCACAGCUAAGCAUUAGCUACAUCUAGAAGAGCUUGCAGCUGGUGCAUACCCAGUCAGCAACCCAGGCUUUGGAAGCAUUACCAAUCUGACUACAGUCAUGUAAAGGGGCAUUUGCCUUGUGCUUACAUGGUGGCACAGCAGAGCUAUGCAGGAGGAUAUAUAAAGAUUCCUGGUGCACAUUUCUUUGUUGAGGUGCAGCUGGUCCCUGGGACACUGAACAGCCUGGUUUUUUGGGAUGGAGAGGAGACACAUACAUAGGCUUUGUUGUCCUCAGCAGUGAAGGGGUUAGCCUUUGGUCCACGUGAGGCUGGUGAGCUUCUAUCGAUCCCAUCUCCUUGUAGACAAAUGCAGAGCUUCUGCUUUGCAGUCGUGUAGGGGCUGCAGUGAGGCUGUAUUCAACCAUGCUGCUUUAACUCAACGUCAGAUCAAGUUUGAUCAAUAACCCCCCUACUGGUCCAAUUGGAAGAGGCUUAUUCAUCUGAGCCUUUUUUUUUUUUUUUUUCUUCCUUCACUCCCUUUCUCUCUUCACCACCAUCUUUGGGAAAAGUCCCCUUGGUUUCCUAUAGUGAGAGCAAGGGGUGAAGCGCAGUCUCAGCCGAUGGAGCUGUCCAUGGUGCUGCUGUAGGAGAGUGCUGAAUGCCCGGACUGUGUCAGUUUCGUUCUAGAAAUUAAGGCUGUGAAAAUGGGACAAAACGAGCUGCAGACUGUCUUCCUAUUGCUGCUAAGCCUUGCAGGAGAGAGCUAUGGAGGGUUCCCUAACACUAUUAACAUAGGUGGACUUUUUAUGAAAAACACAAUUCAGGAACACAGUGCAUUUUUAUUUGCAGUUCAGCUGCAUAACACCAACCAAAAUAACACAGAGAGGCCCUUCCAGCUGUUUCACAAUGUAGAUCACUUAGACUCCUCCAACAGUUUUUCUGUGACCAAUGCCUUCUGUUCACAGUUUUCCCGUGGGGUCUAUGCCAUCUUUGGGUUCUAUGAUCAAAUGUCAAUGAAUACUCUUACAUCAUUUUGUGGUGCCCUCCACACUUCAUUCAUCACGCCAAGCUUCCCAACAGACGCAGAUGUACAGUUUGUUAUCCAGAUGCGACCGGCACUUAAAGGAGCCAUUCUAACUCUUCUCAAUGAUUAUGACUGGCAAAGAUUUGUUUACCUAUACGAUACUGAGCGAGGAUUCUCUAUUCUUCAGGCCAUUAUGGAGGCAGCGGUACAGAACAACUGGCAAGUGACAGCUAGAUCUGUGGGGAAUAUAAAAGAUGUUCAGGAAUAUAAACGCAUCAUCGAGGAAAUGGACAGACGUCAGGAGAAAAGAUUUGUAAUCGACUGCGAAGUUGAACGCAUAAAUACAAUUUUGGAACAGGUUGUAAUCCUUGGCAAACACACACGAGGCUACCACUAUAUGCUUGCUAACCUGGGAUUUACAAGUAUAUCUCUGGAAAGAGUCAUGCAUGGUGGAGCCAAUGUUACUGGAUUUCAGAUUGUCAAUAAUGAAAACCCUCUAGUUCAGCAGUUUCUACAGAGAUGGAUCCGUCUGGAUGAGAGAGAAUUUCCUGAAGCAAGAAAUAUACCAUUAAAGUACACUUCAGCUUUGACCCAUGAUGCUGUGUUAGUAAUAGCAGAGGCUUUUCGACACCUUAGAAGACAACGAGUUGAUGUGUCAAGGCGAGGGAGUGCUGGAGACUGUCUAGCAAAUCCUGCAGUUCCUUGGAGCCAAGGGAUAGACAUUGAAAGGGCCUUAAAGAUGGUGCAGGUUCAAGGGAUGACUGGGAAUAUCCAGUUUGAUACAUAUGGAAGGAGAACUAACUACACUAUUGAUGUGUAUGAGAUGACAGCAACUAAACCCCGCAAGGUUGGACAUUGGAAUGAAUAUGAACGUUUUGUUCCGGCUCCUGAUCAACAACCUGCAAAUGACUCAUCCUCUGUGGAAAAUAAAACUAUUGUAGUGACAACAAUUUUGGAAAAUCCAUAUGUCAUGAAAAAGAAAAACUACGAGCAACUAGAUGGCAAUGACAAGUAUGAAGGAUACUGCGUGGACCUGGCUAGUGAGAUUGCAAAACAUGUUGGAAUAAAAUACAAACUUUCCAUUGUCGAAGAUGGCAAAUACGGAGCCCGUGAUCCAGAAACUAAGAUAUGGAAUGGAAUGGUGGGUGAGCUUGUAUAUGGGAGAGCAGACAUAGCAGUCGCCCCUCUCACCAUUACUCUGGUACGAGAAGAAGUGAUUGAUUUUUCCAAACCAUUUAUGAGCCUGGGCAUCUCCAUCAUGAUUAAGAAGCCUCAAAAAUCUAAACCAGGAGUAUUUUCUUUCCUGGAUCCCUUGGCCUAUGAAAUCUGGAUGUGUAUAGUUUUCGCCUACAUUGGAGUCAGUGUAGUUCUUUUCCUAGUCAGCAGAUUCAGCCCUUAUGAAUGGCACUUGGAGGACACAGAUGAAGCCCGUGACCCUCAGAACCCUCCUGACCCUCCUAAUGAGUUUGGAAUAUUUAACAGCCUAUGGUUUUCCCUGGGUGCCUUUAUGCAGCAAGGAUGCGAUAUUUCUCCAAGAUCUCUCUCUGGGCGAAUAGUUGGAGGAGUAUGGUGGUUCUUCACUUUGAUUAUAAUCUCCUCCUAUACUGCCAACUUAGCUGCUUUCCUUACAGUGGAAAGGAUGGUGUCACCCAUUGAGAGUGCCGAAGAUUUGGCUAAACAAACGGAAAUAGCUUACGGCACAUUGGAUUCUGGAUCUACCAAAGAAUUUUUUAGGAGAUCAAAGAUAGCAGUUUAUGAGAAAAUGUGGUCAUACAUGAAGUCUGCAGAACCAUCUGUGUUUACGAAAACAACCGAUGAUGGUGUGGCCCGUGUUCGGAAGUCUAAAGGAAAGUUUGCCUUCCUAUUGGAAUCUACAAUGAAUGAAUACAUCGAGCAGAGGAAGCCAUGUGACACGAUGAAAGUUGGAGGCAACUUGGAUUCCAAAGGAUAUGGCGUGGCAACUCCAAAAGGCUCAGCAUUAAGAAAUGCUGUUAACCUGGCAGUAUUAAAACUGAAUGAGCAAGGACUCUUGGACAAAUUGAAAAACAAAUGGUGGUACGACAAAGGAGAAUGCGGCAGCGGGGGAGGUGACUCCAAGGACAAGACCAGUGCCCUGAGCCUAAGUAAUGUCGCUGGGGUGUUCUAUAUCCUUGUUGGAGGUCUUGGACUAGCCAUGAUGGUGGCUUUGAUAGAAUUCUGCUACAAAUCGCGAGCAGAAUCAAAAAGAAUGAAACUUACAAAGAAUGCACAAAACUUUAAACCUCCUCCUGCAACCAGCACCCAGAAUUAUGCUACAUACAGAGAAGGUUAUAAUGUCUACGGAACAGAAAGUGUUAAGAUUUAAGGAUUAUUUGAAGUAGAAAGUGUGUCCAUUGUCCUGCACAAUGCUACAUAUAGAUAACCAUUGAAAAGAGCCAAGUCACGGGGUGAGAUUAUGAGAAUGAGGCUUCCUCCUACAUCCUGACCACCUGAGCCAGUUAAACUCUUUCCUUGAUGUCAGGAAUGACACAAACUGCUGAUGGUGCAAAGAACUUUUACUAGAAAGAACAGAUUUCUUUUCUUUUCCUUCAGUGCCUUAUGGAACAUUCUGAGUCUCACAACAAUGCAAACUAUCACUGAAAUGCUAUUGCUUUGCUUGAAAAAAAAAACUUUGACUGGCCACAAGACGAGAUUCUCGUGUAAGAAAAAUGUACUCAUGUAAAGAACAAGUUCUCUAAAAGCCAUUGAUUAUUAGCACUCUACGGAGAUGCUCAGAUGCUCUAUAUGCAUUUUAAAGGUGCAUUCACUCUUUCUUGUAGUAAAUACAAUCACUCACUGGGUACCAUAUUGUCUUGUCUCCAUUGUAAUGUUGAUGUAUGUUUCACUAAAAUCACUCAGAUUGCUGGUAAAAUAUGAUCUUCUAUGUCAUGUAAACUAGGACUGAAAGCUUUAGAUUAAUAUAGGUCUAUUUAUUGAAAGACUAAGUGGAAAGUAAUGGCAAGAGAAUGACACUGUUCUGACCCCAUAACAGUCCAUAAAAAUGAUAAUGUGUUGCUGUUGUGUAACGGACCGGUUCUGUGUCUAAAUUUAUUUCACUGUGUAUGUAGAGUGAAUGCACUUUUAAAUUUACAAGUGUUACAUUAUAUGUAUUAUUGUUAGCAAUGCUGUUGUAUGUUAUAAACAGCAUUCUAUUAGACUGGGACCUAACAGUGAGGGGUAUGUAUGAAGGAUUUUACACCGUUUUUUUGACUGUGAUUUGUCGCAAUUUUCUUUAUAUGUUACUUUUUGCGACAAUCAGUUGCUUUAAAUGAUUUAGAACAUUAUCACUGAUUUGAUGGUGUAAGUCGUGAUUUCAGUUACAAUCAUGCAGUGGUUUGGAAUUCGUUAAUUGCGACUUUUCGAUUUGGCGAAAAUUUUGGUGCAAAUACCUUCAUUAAGGUGCAAAUCCACACCAAAAAUAAAAUGACAGAGAAAAUAGUUACAACAAUAGACUGUAGAACGUUUAAACAGUGCCCAACCAGAGAGUGGAAAAAGGACCCUGAACAAUAAAAGAAGCAACCUGAUUGGUUGCUAGGGGAAUAUGCAACACUUUUCCAAGGCAGAGGUCUGGAUGAAUAUCCCCCCCUAAUGCACAAAUUAAAAUCAGCAAAAAAGGCCCUGGCUG